rnacentral:rRNA from 1 species
UAGUCGAUGGGAAACAGGUUAAUAUUCCUGUACUUGGUGUUACUGCGAAGGGGGGACGGAGAAGGCUAUGUUAGCCGGGCGACGGUUGUCCCGGUUUAAGCAUGUAGGCUGGUUGUCCAGGCAAAUCCGGAUAAUCAAGGCUGAGGUGUGAUGACGAGGCACUACGGUGCUGAAGUAACAAAUGCCCUGCUUCCAGGAAAAGCCUCUAAGCAUCAGGUAACAUCAA